rnacentral:tRNA from 1 species
GGGCCGGUAGCUCAGCCUGGUAAGAGCGCUCGCCUGAUAAGCGAGAGGUCGCCGGUUCAAAUCCGGCCCGGCCCA